CAGUCGCCGCGGUAAUACGUAGGUGGCAAGCGUUGUCCGGAAUUAUUGGGCGUAAAGCGCGCGCAGGCGGAUAGGUCAGUCUGUCUUAAAAGUUCGGGGCUUAACCCCGUGAUGGGAUGGAAACUGCCAAUCUAGAGUAUCGGAGAGGAAAGUGGAAUUCCUAGUGUAGCGGUGAAAUGCGUAGAUAUUAGGAAGAACACCAGUGGCGAAGGCGACUUUCUGGACGAAAACUGACGCUGAGGCGCGAAAGCCAGGGGAGCGAACGGGAUUAGAUACCCCUGUAGUCCCUGUCUCUUAUACA
rnacentral:rRNA from 1 species